GGGGAUGUAGCUCAGCAGUAGAGUGCAUGCUUUGCAUGUAUGAGGCCCCGGGUUCAAUCCCUGGCAUCUCCA